rnacentral:tRNA from 1 species
GCGGGCGUGGUGGAAUUGGUAGACACGCUAGGCUUAGAACCUAGUGGGGUAACCCGUGGGGGUUCGAGUCCCCCCUUUCGCACCA